CUGAAGAAUAAGCACCGGCUAACUACGUGCCAGCAGCCGCGGUAAUACGUAGGGUGCAAGCGUUAAUCGGAAUUACUGGGCGUAAAGCGUGCGCAGGCGGACUUUUAAGCCAGAAGUGAAAGCCCCGAGCUUAACUUGGGAAUUGCGUUUGGAACUGGGAGUCUAGAGUCUGUCAGAGGGGGAUGGAAUUCCACGUGUAGCAGUGAAAUGCGUAGAGAUGUGGAGGAACACCGAUGGCGAAGGCAGUCCCCUGGGAUAAGACUGACGCUCAUGCACGAAAGCGUGGGGAGCAAACAGGAUUAGAUACCCUGGUAGUCCACGCCCUAAACGAUGUCUACUAGUUGUUGGGGUAGCAAUACCUCAGUGACGCAGCUAACGCGUGAAGUAGACCGCCUGGGGAGUACGGUCGCAAGAUUAAAACU
rnacentral:rRNA from 1 species